rnacentral:rRNA from 1 species
AUUGAACGCUGGCGGCAGGCCUAACACAUGCAAGUCGAGCGAGCGGCGGACGGGUGAGUAAUGUAUGGGGACUGCCCGAUAGAGGGGGAUAACUACUGGAAACGGUGGCUAAUACCGCAUACUAUCGGAUAACCCAUAUUGGAUUAGCUAGUAGGUGGGGUAAAGGCUCUCCUAGGCGACGAUCUCUAGCUGGUCUGAGAGGAUGAUCAUCCCAACUGGGACUGAGACACGGCCCAGACGCCUACGGAGGCCGCAGUGGGGAAUAUUGCCCAAUGGGCGAAAGCCUGAUGCAGCCAGGCCGCGUGUAUGAAGAAGGCCUUAGGAUUGUAAAGUACUUUCAUCGUGGAGGCGUUACCCGAAGAAGACGCACCGGCUAACUCCGUGCCAGCAGCCGCGGUAAUAC